rnacentral:ncRNA from 14 species
CCAACGGCCCUCUUUAGGGCCACAAAAAUUCUAUCCUUUUUAUCU